AGUAAUAGAUUAUAAAAAUGUAGAAUAAUGAUAGCAAUCUCGGUGAAGACAUCUACCAGGAAACAUGUACUUCCAAUAUACUUGCACCUUUAGAUGAAGUAAUCUCACUGCUAAUGCAGCCUUACGUAUACAACAGAGUUUUUAUUAGUUCAAUAAAAAACAACCCCUACAACCCACUUUUAAGAUGCCAUCACAUAAUAUGAAAUGCCACUGAAGAUAAACACAUCUAUCUCCUUGUUCAUUUCCGUCAAAGUAACACCACUGCAGUCUCACAAUAACCUGAAUCCAAAAAAGCAAUUUUCAUCUCCAGUUUUGCUCUUUAUGAGUUAACUUAACCCUCUCUCUUUUUUUUAAUCCGUGUUUCUCCUAGCUUCCAUCUUUCUUGUACUUACACCUCCCUCCUCCUUGAUUUGCCUUUUCCAAUAUUUCACUUCCUUUGGGAUUACAGUGGUACCUCACAAGACGAAUGCCUCGCAAGACAAAAAACUCGCUAGACGAAAGGGUUUUUUGAGCUGCUUCACAAAACGAUUUUCCCUAUGGGCUUGCUUCGCAAGACGGAAACGUCUUGCAAGUUUGUUUCCUUUUUCUUAACACCGUUAAUACAGUUGCGACUUGACUUCGAGGAGCAACUCAUAGAACGCGGUGUGGUAGCCUUUUUUGAGGUUUUUAAAGACUUUGAUAUUUUUGAAGCUUUUCCAAAACUUUCCCGACACCGUGCUCCGCAAGACGAAAAAAAUCGCAAGACGACAAAACUCGCGAAACGAAUUUAUUUCGUCUUGCAAGGCACCACUGUAAAAGGGCUUAAGUUCAGGCAAAACUAACUUAUUUAACUUACUAUAAAAUCUUGACUUAUUCAUUGAUUCCAGAUGGGACUUAAGUUCAACUAACUCACAGGAUGAUCCAGUGCAUGCUUUACUCAGAAGUAAAUCCCACUGUUUUCAUGCAAAGAAAAGAAUGCAUAGGAUAGCGGCCUCAGUGUAGAUCCAACCCAAUUUGUUUAAUGUAAAUUUUCAAACCCUCCCUAGGUUAUAUGCAUUCAAAGCCGUUAGUUAUAACUUGCAACAGCACUGUCUGUUAAAUGUAUGCCCCUGCAAUUUUUUAAGAAUUAUAUGAUUUAGGAAACAAAGCAGAAUUGUGCUUUCAGUUUGCAAUGUUUAGAUACAAUGCAGUUUUUUUUACAAACUCAAUAUAAACUGCGAAAUAGCCCUCAAAAUCUUCGUUUCUUAAAAAUUAGCAGCUGCUCUAUCAGUCGUUUCAGUUUCCCAAGGCUGCCAGGCUCCUGGUCUUAUACAUUAGAAGAGAGCAUGUGGGUUUAAGGAGUGAAAAAGAGAUACCAUGGCCUUCCUUAUAUACUUGCACAUUUGACAUUAGCAUAACUCUUUCAGGAGUCAUUCCUGUUUGACACUGGUAUACAUUACAGCAAACUUGUAAUCCUAUUUCCACCUCAUUACUGGUGGAAAUAACCAAGAUAUUUAAGCCCUUUUUAGGGGCAGGAAUGCCUUCCCACUAUUUGUUGUGGCAUCCACCUGAUUGUGAUAAAACAACCAUGAGCAUUAGUGGUCAGGAACAACAUAACCUUAAGAAACAUAAUCUUAAGAAAGCGCACUCUUCUUCCAGUACAUAGGAAUAUUUGUGGGAACACUAGGAUCCAACCACAAAGCAAACACAGCAGCACCAUUUGCAGUCUACUUCAGAGCUUCCAAAACUUACACCACUAUAACAUGACAAGUCUUCCCCUACACUGAUGCAUUUGAACACUCUUCCUCACACAGCUUCUUAUGAGCUGCUUAGAGUUGUUCUGGCCAAACCCAGCAUCAGCAAGGACUAUGAAGCCUUUUUGGCUAGUGAGGUGCAGCUAGAUAGAGAUAUCACCAUUUCCUAAGUACUGUACUGGAUUGUGCUGAAGCUGAAGGGGCAUGCUAUUUGUUUGCUUACUACAAUUUAUCAAACGAGACAUAAAAAUAUAUUAAAAUAUUGCAAUUAAAAUAUGGGUAAGUAAAGCAGAAGGAAGUGAAGUAAAAACAAAAAUAAAGUGCUACUUUAUUUAAUCCUAUAAAAUCAGUCUACAGGAGGUACUUUAUUGUAUACCAGGAAUUAUUACAGAAUCUGCAUAUGGUAGCUGUAAUCACAGACCUUCCAGCAUGCAAAAGCUAGUUAACCAUUGUGGCAAUAAUCCCAGAUAGUGUUGGAUGGACCCAUAAUCUUUCCAGGGGUUGGCAAACUUUUUCAGCAGAGGGCCAGUCCACUGUCCCUCAGACCUUGUCGGGGGCCGGACUGUAUUUUUUUUGGGGGGGGGGGAAUGAACAAAUUCCUAUGCCCCACAAAUAACCCAGAGAUGCAUUUUAAAUGAAAGGACACAUUCUACUCAUGUAAAAACACACUGAUUCCCAGAUUCUCCGCGGGCUGGAUUUAGAAGGUGAUUGGGCCUUAGUUUGCCUACCCAUGAUCUUUUCUGUCCAAAUCUGGACAGAUUUUUUAAAUGAGUAAAAAAAUUGGGGGUCAGGCUUUUUCUUUGUAAAAUUAACCACAUUUACCUUGAUUUUACCCUUUGUCAAAAUCAUUAAACAGGGUUCUCUUUGCUUGCAAGUGCAUGAAAUCAAAUAUGCCACUUCAGAGCUAUCCUACAAUUUAAUCCAACAAUUCUUCACAUUCAUGUAGCUAUCAACAACUUGAACACAGGUUUUCUAAACAGAUAUACAUCAUUCUCCAAUAAGUAAAUAUAUCAACAGUUUUCUGGAAGAACAUAAUUUCAUGUCACUCAGGCUUCUAAAACUAAUAGUCAGCCUCCUCCUUUUUAAAGUAUAAACCAAUAAAAGACAGCAAAAAGCUUUACAUCAUCAUUUAUCAUUUCUGCUGCUCAUUAAACCAGUAUAGCACAGCAUUUGCUACAUCUGCCAAUUACUUUUAUACACCAUCCAACACAUAUGCAAUUCUCAACUUAAGCAUUUGAACACUAUCCGAAGCAUUUCCUGACAUUUUAUACGAUAGGGCUAGAACAUGACUAGUCAUCUUGGUCAUAAGUCACCUUGUUUCUACAUUGCAGGUGGACUCACUUCUAAAAAGCACUCCCAGAACUCCAGCUUAAUUCAUACUCCUACACUGAGUGAACUUAAAUGCAAAACUUGUUCUUUUUGAUUAAUUGACUUUUCCUGGUUAUAAACAUGAGAACAUGCUAUUUCCACUCUAAAUAGCUCAAAUGACAAUGUGUUAAACUAAAAGCAUUCAGCUGAAGAGUAGUCACACACAAAUUUAGUAAUAAUUAUGCAAGGAAAGUUUCAAAGGGAGCUUGGUAUGAAUUAUUAGGCUUGAUUCCUUCCGUUUGUCCUUGAGCCGCAUUCAAUAGUAUAUAAUUGGUGCGGUGUGCACUUAAUACAGAUUUAUUUUUUCAUAUGACUCACUGGCAUCUUCUUCACCAAAUGUAUUUUAAAUAUCUUAAGCUAGCGUGUGUGUAUUAAUAAACCCUGCAUUUAUAAGUAAUACAUUUUAUUCACACAUAUAUAUACAAAAGCAUAUACACACACAUUCACAUUCCAGUGUACUGCAACUUACAACUAGUGCACAUGCUACUCUUUCCAUGCAGAUCCCACAGAAGAAUGGAAUCCAUCCCCUGGUGAGUUUUCUGUGCCUGGCUAGGACAUGAAGCAGGGCCAUACUAUUACAGAAGUCCCUAGCUCCAACACAUAUCAUUAGUAGCUGCAGGCCAGAGUGGAAAAACCACACAAUUUGAGGGUGAGGGCGGUGGGGGGUGGAAAUAAGUCAACUACAUCCUAUUCAGAGUAGAAAUCAGUGAAGCUAAGUUGGUCAUGACCAUUAAUUUCAAUGGGUCAACUCCCAAGUUGACUGAAUAUCACCCAAUGACCCAAGUCCAAAUCACAUGGCUGAGAAUGAAAGCUUGCCAGCAGUUCUGCUUGGAAAUUUUGUAUGCAGACUACUUAUUACUUAUGGCUGCAGUCCUCAGAUCAAUUUGCUCAUGAGUAAGGUCCAUUCAUUUUGGUAGAGUUUACUCCCUAUAAAUGUGCUUGGGAUCUCUGCUUCCCUUUAACAUAUGAAAUGAUGGUGUAUCUGCAUAAAAAAGAAAUUUGCUGUCAUAAUGGAGACACAUUUGCUAGAACUGGGUUCUAAAGGUACAGGUAAGCUUUAGCUUAUUAUUACAGUGCUGCAUCAUUCACAGAAAAUUCUUAUUUAAUAAUAGGACCACAAGCAAAUAUUUAUGUAAAUAGAUAUUUUUUUCGUGUUGAUAUUUUGUGGUACACAUAUAGCUUUUUAUUUAGAACUUCAUUGCAUUAUUCUUUCAUUUUCUUAUUUGUAAGGUAAUGUUUUUAGAUCAAAGUAGACUUGAAUUAAUGUCAUAAUUGUCAGUAUUACUGAAACUUAUGUCAACUGUACCGUUGUCCAUCUGUCCCAUAGUUUUUAGAUCAUCAUCUAGUUAUUUGGCAUUGUUGCAAGUGCCUUAAAAUUCAUGGCAUCCUAUUUAAAAAAAAUACAAAUUUGGUGUUAUGCUGCAUGACAAAGACAAACACACCUCAAAAUGUUGUCCUUUCUUAGCUUGCUGCGUUUUACAGUUCUUUCGGCUAACAGUUUAUAAGCCUUUAUUAUAUAAUAUUGAUGAAUUACAGAAAUGAUGAAGUUGUUCUCUUAUUUCUGUUAUAAAUGUACCAGAGCUGUGUAUCUGUUAAUGAGAUACAGCGUCAUUUCUGUGAAAUGUAUAAAUGUAUGUGCAGGUCAAAUUAAUAUAUGACAUACUAUCAGUCUGUAUACAGGUAUUCCUGUUUUGCUAAGCUGUGCAAAUUUUAAAACUGUAGUGCAGUAAAAGUUCUAACAUAUCACAUUUUAUAAUAGGCUCCAUUGCAAAAAUAUUCCGAUCAGACCAAUGAUUAGCAAACUGACUGUCAAAUUUACACCAAACAAAAAAAAACAUAUUCUUUCCAUUGUGAAACCAAUGACUGCAGAAGGAGUGAAUCUUGUUGCACCACUGAACAAAACAGGACCAGUGCUUUCUAUGAGUUUCCUUGUAUAUGCAAAUGUUUCUGAGACAAACUCUCAGUAGUACACCUAGAAAGCUAAACACUGAAAGUGUGUUAUUUGUCCUCUUCCUCUGUGAACAGUCCACUCCAUAAACAGACCACAGCACUGAGACAUUGAUGUUUCAGGCUUUAAUAGCAAAGGGAAAUUGAUUCAGCGUUGCCUACUACCGUACUUAUUCCAAUGUAUGCUGUUUUUACACUGGUGGCUUCCUUUAUAAUCUUAAUGGCUAUUUUUCCUUUGGUUUUCUUCUUACUGAGGAUUCUACAUGAAAGAGGAGGAUUUAGUUUUGUUUGUCCAAGAAUACACUUUCAUCAAAUGGUCUUUGACCAGUUGCACUCUUUUGAUGUAGACUAAAACGAAAACAAAAACUUUUUAUCAUAAACUUAACUGCUUUUGUUUUGCUCUGUAUUUUCCCUGCAGCUGUAAUUGCCGAGUGCCUGUUGUAUACUUUAUAGAGUUGAAAUAAAAAAAAUUACUUUUGAAUAUUUUUGCCUUGUUCAUAUUUCUACCUUCUGAUGUGUUUCGAAUUGCAUUUUAAACAGUUGUUAAGCUGUCAACUAUUUCAACACUGAAUACUAGCUGAAGGAAAGACAGCAUACAGCACGGGUCAACAAACUUUUUUAGCAGGGGGCCGGUCCACUGUCCCUCAGACCUUGUGGGGGGCCGGACUAUAUUUUGGGGGGAAAAUGAACGACUUCCUAUGCCCCACAAAUAACCCAGAGAUGCAUUUUAAAUAAAAGGACACAUUC